GGAAUGAAUACAAUCGGCCCUUGGCAAAUCCAGUAGUUUGAAAUAACUGGAGAGUUCUGCAGGCCCAAGUGUUACAGAUCUUCUUUCCUGGCCUCUCAUGAUGGUGUCCACAGUGGAGCAUGGCUAUUUUAUGCACAAGUCUCUCACUCUGAAGGAGGGACCCAGCCUUACAUUGUCCCCACUUGGAUCGUCCAAGCCAGAGUCCAGAGGACCCACUUACACAGGCAUCCAGGAGUUUGGCUACCUCUUUCAAAUGCAUCUGGAUCCUUUCAGGCCUGCCCUGGGCCAGGAAUCUUGUUUGGAACAGUUUCUCCUUACAGAGUUUUGGCUCUUCGACUUCUGGUGCCAUUUGAAACCAGGAGGGUAAAACUGGAAAACUUAAACAAACCCUCUUUGAAUGUUAGAAAUGUUCAGCAUUCGAGGUUUGGUCAAAUGAUGGAAAACAUUCCGGGUUGGUACUGAACUUUCCAGCCAGUUCCUCCAACCUUGAGGCUAAUUUUAGCAUGAGAUUCAGGCAGGGAAAGCUAAAGGAAACGAAGCAACUAAAAUUACUCUGAGUUGGAGAAGCCAGAAUUGACAUUGGAUAGAUAGUGUAAGACUCAAUAAUUCAGUUUAGGUGGCAAAUAAUGAGUGUCCCCAGCAUGAUCAAAGCACCUGGCUUUGGGGACUUUGGACUUUUCUUAUAAUUGCUACUCAUGUUCCUGGUAGUAGGCAAAUUAACGAACUUCCACAUGACUCCUUACCAACUAAAGCAUAAUACUACCUUUUUCACUGGGGGGCUAUGAGGAUCAGUAAUUUUUGGACUAUGCAAAGUGGUUUUGAAUGGAAUUAAAAAAGACACCUGUGGUUGAUACUUCAAUAUGGAAACAUGCAAUAUGUGAAUUUUAAUACUUGGACUUGUUGGGUGUUGUCACCAACACAUGACAUCAGGACCCUACGUGAGAGGUCUGGAUAAGAACAAGUUGAAGAUAGCCUAUGCUGCUGGAGAAAUCUUCAGUGUGCAUCACUUAAUUUUCUAAUUAAAUGU
rnacentral:lncRNA from 12 species